rfam:Bombyx mori DNA, contig: Bm_scaf29_contig18572, strain: p50T/Dazao, build 2, whole genome shotgun sequence.
UUAACUCAAAUUUGUAUGGACUUGGAACGUUUGCCUAUGUUUGCCGCUAGGGGCGCUGUUCCAACUGCAUUCAAAUUUGAGUUG